UCUGAAUGCCAAAAUUUAUCAGAUAGUCUUGUUCAGGACCUUUAGGCUGCGUUUGGUUGGAGAACUAAAUUUUGGAGAACAACUUUUGUUGUUCCCGAGAACAGGGGAUAUUCCGGUACAAGAUAGAACAAUUGUAAAUUUGUGUUUGGAUGCAUUCGAGGAUAUUCUAGAGGAUAUCCUUAAUAGCGUUUGGAUAAAAAGUCUAGAACAACGUCUAAAUAUAUUUUUAAAAAUAAAAUAAUUAAUUUAUAUUAGUAUAUUUUAUAUAAAAUUAUUUAUAAAAUUAUUUCAUAUAGUAAUUUAUAAUAUAAUAUUUUAUGUAAGAAUCUAAUUUAAAAUAAUAUAUAUUAUUUUAUUAUAUAUAAUAAUUUAUUUUAUGUAAUAAUUUAUUUUCUAUAAUUUAUUCAUAAUAUAUUAAUGAAUAAAGUAUAAUACUAACAAUAUCCCUAUAUUUUUAAUUAAUAAUUAGUAUAAAUUUUAAUACAAAUAAAAAAAAUAUAUAUAAUUAAAUAUUAAAGUAUAAAUGAUAGAGUUUAAUAAAAUAAAAAAUAUAUCAAAUUUAAUUAAUUUAUAUUAUAUAAUAAAAUUUAAGUAUAAAUAUAUUAUCAUAAAAAUUUAAGUAUGAAUUUCAAUACAUAUUAUAAAAUAUAUAUAUAAUAUAUGAUAAAAUGAUUUUAUGUAUAUAAUACUUAAUAUAAAAUAAAAUAAUUAAAUAUUAAUAUAUAAAUGAUAAAACUUAAUAAAAUAAAAUAUAUAUCAAAUUUAAUUAAUUUAUAUUAUAUAAUAAAAUUUAAGUAUAAAUAUAUUAUCAUAAAAAUUUAAGUAUAAAUUUCAAUACAAGUUAAAAUAUAUAUAUAAUAUAUGAAAAAAUAAUUUUAUGUAUAUAAUAAUUAAUAUAAAAUAAAAUAAUUAAAUAUUAAUAUAUAAAUGAUAAAACUUAAUAAAAUAAAAUAUAUAUCAAAUUUAAUUAAUUUAUAUUAUAUAAUAAAAUUUAAGUAUAAAUAUAUUAUCAUAAAAAUUUAAGUAUAAAUUUCAAUACAAGUUAAAAUAUAUAUAUAAUAUAUGAAAAAAUAAUUUUAUGUAUAUAAUAAUUAAUAUAAAAUAAAAUAAUUAAAUAUUAAUAUAUAAAUGAUAAAACUUAAUAAAAUAAAAUAUAUAUCAAAUUUAAUUAAUUUAUAUUAUAUAAUAAAAUUUAAGUAUAAAUAUAUUAUCAUAAAAAUAAUAUUUAUAUUAAUAUAUUUAUUUAUUAAAUUUGUGCAUUCAUUUAAUUUAUUUGAAAUUAAUUAAAAUAAAGUAUAAAAAAUUUAAAAGGCCAGAAAAAAAAAAAAAAAAGAAAAAAAAAAAGCCCAAACUCUUGUUCCGGCUUGUUCUCCCUUUUAGGGAGAACAAGUUUACCGGGUUGUUCCCGGCUUAACGGGUUGUUCCGGGAACAACCCGGUUGUUCCAAAAUGCUUUAUGUUUGGAGGGAUAUCCCGCCUUGUUCUGGGAUAUCCCUCCAACCAAACGCAGCCUUAGGUUUCUAUUUGUCUGCUUAUAUUGUUUUCAAAAGCCUUUGGGUGACGCUCUGGGUUGUUUUGAAAAUCUUUUCUUAGAAUAGCCAGCGAAAAAACGUAUAGUUUUUAGGCUAAAUUACAGAAAAUUUUUCUGUCAAAAUUCGAUUUUUUACUUUUCCUCCCUGUCAUUUAAAAAUCUACACUUUGGCCUCUUAUAAAAUAAAAAAUAUUCACAGGAAAUGGUGUGAACUGUGAUGAUAAAAUGACUAUUUUGCCCUUCACUAUUUUGCCCCUCAUCAUAUUCAUAGGAGAGAAGGCCGAGGGCAUUUUUGGCAUGAAAAAUAUAUAAUAAUAUUUUAUAAACGGAACCCUAACGGAUUACUAAUGGCAGGGGGCGAAGUGAACAUUUUUUAUUUUACAAAGGGGCAAAGUGUAGGUUUUUAAAUGACAGGGGGGAAAGUAAAAAAUCGGGUUUUGACAGGAGGGUUUUCUGUAAUUUAGCCUAGUUUUUAAACACAUUUAAAGAACACUCUACAACGAGCACAAAUCCGGCACAUGGACAGAGAUUUUUUUAUGCAAAGGAACUGAG
rnacentral:lncRNA from 1 species